GACGAACGCUGGCGGCGUGCUUAACACAUGCAAGUCGAACGGAAAGGCCCUGCUUUUGUGGGGUGCUCGAGUGGCGAACGGGUGAGUAACACGUGAGUAACCUGCCCUUGACUUUGGGAUAACUUCAGGAAACUGGGGCUAAUACCGGAUAGGAGCUCCUGCUGCAUGGUGGGGGUUGGAAAGUUUCGGCGGUUGGGGAUGGACUCGCGGCUUAUCAGCUUGUUGGUGGGGUAGUGGCUUACCAAGGCCUUGACGGGUAGCCGGCCUGAGAGGGUGACCGGCCACAUUGGGACUGAGAUACGGCCCAGACUCCUACGGGAGGAAGCAGUGGAGAAUAAUGCACAAUGGGCGGAAGCCUGAUGCAACAACGCCGCGUGCGGGAUGACGGCCUUCGGGUUGUAAACCGCUUUCGCCUGUGACGAAGAGUGUGUGACGGUAAUGGGUAAAGAAGCACCGGCUAACUACGUG
rnacentral:rRNA from 1 species